CAUCUCCUACGGGGCGCAGCAGUGGGGAGUAUUGCACAAUGGGGGAAACCCUGAUGCAGCGACGCCGCGUGAACGAAGAAGUAUUUCGGUAUGUAAAGCUCUAUCAGCAGGGAAGAAAAAUGACGGUACCUGAGUAAGAAGCACCGGCUAAAUACGUGCCAGCAGCCGCGGUAAUACGUAUGGUGCAAGCGUUAUCCGGAUUUACUGGGUGUAAAGGGAGCGCAGGCGGUGCGGCAAGUCUGAUGUGAAAGCGCGGGGCUCAACACCGGGACUGCAUUGGAAACUA
rnacentral:rRNA from 1 species